GUGUGUGUGUGUGUGUGUGUGUGUGAGAGAGAGAGAGAGAGAGAGAGAGAGAGAGAGAGAGAGAGAACCAGGCUCUCCUCCUGACAGUUGUGGAAUGCGUUUCCCCUCCUCCAUUUAUGGGUUUUUACAGAAUUUAAAA